GUUAGAUGUUCUGGAAAGGACCAGAAUGCCCCUUUGGUUAUAUGGCUUGCCACGUGGAUGUGUUCUUUGCAAUUCUUUGAAUACCUACUCUUUCUAUUCUAUGCUACAGCAAACGACUUCCACCAUCUCAUUUCUCUUUUCUAUCUCUCUCUACAUCUUUCUUAUCUCUCUCUUCUCUUUCUUCAUCUCUCUUUCUACAACAAACCCUAAUUCCCUUAAUCACAAAAUUUGCCUCAUUUUUCUCUCCUCAUCCAUCCUAUCGUUCUGCUUCUUCUUCAAACUGUUUUCGACAAUUUUGAUGCGAUGGUUUCUACUUUCGGACAAAGCGGACUUCGACGGUAUUUGUUCUUCGUCGUCGACCUUUGUUAUUACUCACAAAUAUUUGAUUUUACAUAACAGAUCUUCUUCUUAGAUUUGGUGAUUUAGUGAUUUAGAUUUAGAUUUAGUUUUUUUUUUGUUAUUUCAGGUUUAAUGGUGUUGGCUCAAGCAAAAAAAGGGGGAGAUUUGCGGCAGUUUGUGGUUUUACAUCGACGUGCGGUUUUGCGGUGGUAGAUCUGUCGUGGCGGCAACGCAUUUCCGGUGGAGAUUUUGAUAUUUAUCUGACCCUUCCAUGGGCUUAAGGUUUCAGGAGAUCUCAGUUGCAAGGUCUUUUCCAAUAUGGAAUUUUUUGUGGUGAUUAUGCGGAUUGGUUAGCAGAAUUUUGUGGGAAGUUGAUGGCAAUUUGGUUUCACUCAUGCAGGUUUGAUUAAUGAUUUGAAGAAAAACGGAGUGUUCGAAAUUGAAGGAAACAAAGGGAGAGGGAGGUAAAAGGGAGCUGAGUCUGAACAGUGUCUGAACUGGCUCGAUUUCUACGGGAACCAGUUUGUUAUUCGUUUCAGUUGAGCUUUAUGCAGGGCUGCAAACGAGUUGCAACACCAGCUUUAUGGUGGGUACGGAGCAGAGACUUCGUCAUGAGAACGGUCGAUGAUAUGGUGAACUUAUCACCGUUAGUUUGGAGCUGGUAAGUAUGUCGGGUACAUUAUGUGUGUUGAUAUGUAUGUACGAAUGGUUGAAAACAUACAGCACAACAAGCCUCUCGGAUUAAGUUUCUUAGAUACAUCAUAUUGCUGUUGUUAAUUGUUAUUGCUACUAUCUAGGACACAAAAUCAUGCGCUUAUGCCAAUGUUUAAUAUGCUUCACUUCAGUUACUAAAUUCAUGUGUUUGAGUUUCAUAUUUGAAAGGGCAGAGUUUCCCCUUUUCUUCUCUGGUGCAUCACCUUUGGCUGGUACUAGAUAGGUGUAUGAGCUUUUAUUGGUUUCACUGUUUUAUACAAUGUUCUAUUCACUCUUGCACUUAUGUACCAUAAUGAUAGUUUGCUUAGUAUUAUACACAUUGAACUAAAGAUGUGAGUUUUAGCUGUGAGGCAAAGAUGAGUGCAACGAUGAUGGCAUUGGAUAAGGCAAAGAUGAAGAGAGGACUCUAGAGGAAGUCUGCCGAGAUACUGAGAGCGAAAAGGAAUGUUCUUUAUCGUAUUGUCUUUUAUGUCAUGUCAAACUAAGUUGAAAGCAUUCUACAAUUUAUGUCUUUGUAUUUCCCUAACACAUUUUAUUUUGUAUAGAUGUUAUCGGUAUCGUUGACACCGUGCUUUACACUCAGCAAAAGCUCAACAGGGAAGAAGCCACAGGUUAACUUGCUUUUGAGAGAUUAUGAUUUAAAAAAGCAACAGCGAAAAAGGCGUGUCGUUAUCAAAUAUUUCCUGUAAAAUGUUGUUGUUGAGCCUGUUUUUGUAUGCUGAUGUGAAAUUUUGGACACAUGCAGUGUCUAAAUAUUCCUUAAUUGAUGUGCUUAAACUGUUUCAAUUCUUUUUACAGUGGAUGCCCCGAGGAAUGCAGGGAAGCUAUAGCGUCUCUGAUUGUUGCUGCUGCUAGAUUUUCCAAUCUACCAGAGUUACGCGACCUUCAACAAAUAUUUCAAAAGAGAUAUGGAGUAUGUGAAUCAGGAGGUCACUAUUUGGAUAUUGAAGCAUGUUGGUGAUUUGAAUGUCGCUGCUGGAUUUGCAGAUGAAGCAAGACGUAUGGAUCUUGCUGAUUGUUAUGUUAAUAGUGAAUGUGUUAAGCGGAUGCUGCAGGCCAAUCGGGUUUUUGUUUUUACUUGCACUAUAUUUAUAUAUCAGAUAAUAGGCAUAGUGAUUUAAGAGUUUUUUCCCGCUUCUCUGACUGUUGUAUUUAUAUAUUCCCUUGCUGUUAAGGUGGUGUUGGCAAAAAAAGUUGUUGUGUUGUUCUCAACUUCCUCACCUCACCUGAUUACUGGACGCAGAAAAUGUAGAAAUACCAACAGGACCCACAGGAGUAACACUGGAAGGUUGAGAAUCAGGUACUAGAACAGUAGGAAGAGUUUUUUUUUCUUCAUAAAUAACUCUUGGAUUAAAAGAGAGUACUAGGGGUACUCAUCCCUUACAAGAGAAACAGGUAAAACCUGAACUGCAAUAACAGAAAAUCAUCUACAUAAAAGAGGGUUUUUAAACCACUCAUAGAAAUUACAAUUAAUUCUAUCCUUUGCUACAAUUGCAAGCCACCACCACGUAUACCAAAGAAUCGAGUAGAAAACUUCGUCACCGUCAAAUACCGCAUUAUUGAAAAUCAUGUCGUUCCUCGACUUCCAAAUACACCACCAAAUAGUCAACCAAAUUGCCGACGCCGUUUUAGUUGGAAGUCUGGCCGACAGCAAGUUCACAUUCGACAGCAAUUGAGAGCAACAAUCAGCAGCAGAUAUGUUAUCUAGAUCCAGCCAAAGAGAUAUGUUUCGCCACAGACUAUAUUGAUGAAAUGGAAAUUGGCCGGAAAAGCAGCACAAUAUUGAUGAAAUGGUGGCCUAGGUAUACCACUCAUCUGUGAAGGAAAACUCUGUGCUUGGAAAUGGAAUAGCUGGAUUGGAGGGUAUUCUUACAUGUUUUACUUUAGUAUGCUUUACUUUUCAAAGAGAAAUCAAUCAUUCGUUUUAGUUUUUGCUUACCACUUCAUGUUGAUGAAUGAUGUCUUAUGUAUUGAG